rnacentral:rRNA from 1 species
AACGAACGCUGGCGGCAGGCUUAACACAUGCAAGUCGAGCGCCCCGCAAGGGGAGCGGCAGACGGGUGAGUAACACGUGGGAACCUACCUGAAGGUACGGAACAACUCCGGGAAACUGGAGCUAAUACCGUAUGUGCCCGAAAGGGGAAAGAUUCAUCGCCUUCAGAUGGGCCCGCGUCAGAUUAGCUAGUUGGUGAGGUAACGGCUCACCAAGGCGACGAUCUGUAGCUGGUCUGAGAGGAUGAUCAGCCGCACUGGGACUGAGACACGGCCCAGACUCCUACGGAAGGCAGCAGUGGGGAAUAUUGGACAAUGGGCGCAAGCCUGAUCCAGCCAUGCCGCGUGAGUGAUGACGGCCUUAGGGUUGUAAAGCUCUUUCGACGGGGACGAUAAUGACGGUACCCGUAGAAGAAGCCCCGGCUAACUUCGUGCCAGCCGCCGCAGUAAUAC